rnacentral:lncRNA from 1 species
AGGGGACGGGCUGUUCUCGGCGGAGAAGGAGGACCGCGCCGCAGCCCGCGCUCCAGCUCCGCCGCCAGCCGGCUGAACACGAGCCCGGGGCGGCGACCCGGCCGAGAUGCCCCGGUCACCGCCGAGCCGAGCCAAGGCGUCAUCGACCGGUCCCUCUUUCCCCGGUCUCGGAGCCGUUUCGUUCCUGCUGGAAUGGGCCACCCGCUCUCCGGUCGCACAAGUGGCAUAGCCCCGGGCUCAGAGAGGUUGGGGAACUCUUCCCAGGCGGCGCAGCAGGCCCAGGGCUCCACUCCUGGCGGCCACAGUCAGCUCGGAAACAGAGGGUCCGCCGGGGAGGAAGCGGGCGCCUCCGCCUCCAGGGCCUCUCUCCCCGCGCUCAGGUUCGAUCCCUAGGCCUCGCCGACCCUGGUCCUGCGUACUGAGUCCGUUCCCACCGCAUCCCUCCAGCCCUCUCCCUGGGACAGAGCUGCGUCGUCUACACGGCCUGCCGACAGGAACCAGGGAGCCGGAGGAAAGCAAGCUCAAUCCCAGGGACCUUAGUCGAGGUGGGGGCGUCGGCCGCGGUUCCCCAGUACUUCGCUGUCCCCAGCCUCGUCCGACCCUGCCCCCGGGACCUUCGCCGGCCGGGCUCCUCGGCCUCUCUCGCGCGGCUGCGGCACCUCCCUCUCCCAGUCUGUUCCUUUCUUCCUCUCUGACCCUGAUUGCGCGUUUCCCACUGUCUCCCCCUGUCUCGCUGCGCCUUUGUCUCUGUCUCUGCCAUUCCUUGGUCUCUCCUCCGAUCUCUGCCGGCGAAGCUACCUCCGCCCCCGCCCCUGCAAAGGAACACACACCAGCAGAAUCCGCCUUUUCAAUAAAAAACGACAACUUGGAAACAGAGUGAAUUAAAAAGCAUUAACUUAAAAACAAUCCAUGUGUCUGCAAAUGCGUUCCAAAUGGCAACCUUGGAGGCGGGGGUGUCGGCCACAUGUUCUGGAGCCCCAGACACAAAGUGUAGGGGGCUCAGGGCGGGCGGUGGACCCCACCCGCUAACCACCUGGGACCACGGGGUUUCGGAAAAGGGAGUUCCAUGUCUACCACACUAUUGGGGACCCCCACCAGGUUCCCGGAUUUCUCCUGGAAUUCUGACAUCAGCUAGUCUUUCCCAGUCUUCCAAAGUCCCCAAACACUGACACCAUGCGCCAGCCCUCCCCACCCUCACCCACACAGCCCCACUCCC